ACGGGCUCUGCUCUGCACUCCAGAGAAGCAUGGUUGCCCUGCAUCUUGACUCAAGCACUGCUCCUAAGGAGGCAGAGCACCAGGUUGAUCUGUGCUCACAAAACACAUGUGGCUGAUGAGUUGAUGGCUCUGUGAAAGUACUGCUAAUUUGGGUGCAGGGUGCCAGGCUGGUAUGCACUCCAGAGAAGUAUGGAGCUGGUAGACCUGCAGCUUGGCUCAGGGGCUGCUCCCUUUUGGGAGGAGUACCAUUCUGUCCACUCUCCAGGGAAGCAUGGCCUGGCUGGGUGCCAUCGCUGCUUGAGUUCUUCUUCCUGGGGUCAUGGAACCAAGCUUGUCUGUGUUCCAGGGAAAGAUGAGGGUCACAGUUAUUUUAUAAAUGAUUACUAGGAUAUUCUAAUGCUAAAAAAAUCACUGCUCUGGUGGCUCAUUCCUCUCUAUCGCUGUCAAAUCCUCUCCUUUGUAUAAACUGCAAAAACUGUUUGAUGUUAGUACUUUUAAGAAACCAGGGAGAAAAUCUGGGUAGCAGCUAUUUGCAGCUUCUUAACAGACUGUUUUUUAAAAUGCUGUCUAGGACACCAGAGGAGUAAGACAAGUGAGACAAGCUCAAAUAAAGAGAAUUAGGAAAAAGCUUAGAGCAAGAGAGUUGGUAGAUUUUAAAGAAAGAGGAAACUUUAUCAAAAUAAGUAUGGGCUAAAAUGAUAUGAAACCAGUAGGGUGAUAAUUGCCCCAGAGACAAGAAGCACAAAAAUAUUUAUGUUUUCAUUUAAGAAGGCAUAAAAGAAACAUGAAAAAUAAAAUAAAAUCCAUAGUCACUACUAUGAUUUUCUCAACAUGCCUAUAAAACAGUGACGAAUGACAUAUUUAGGAGAUACAAAACAAGUCAAAUAGACACAGUCUUAGUUUUUUCAGCUGUAAAGAGAAACUAAAAUUUUGUACUAACAGGUAUAAAUUUUGAUAUUGGUGGUGGACAAUUUAAAUGUCAUUCCAGUUUAAUGUUAUUUUACAUAGAGAGAAACUGAGGCAAAGGAAGUUUUCAUGGUUUACUCAAUUUUCAAAUACAAUAAUGAAAUGGGAUUUGUCAAAUCCUUUAGAAAAAAAUCACUAAAAUUUUGGCACCUGUUAUUAUAUAAUCUGUAAAAUAAUUAUGUUUACACAGGUAUAUGUUCCAAUUCCAAUAAGGUUUAAAAUGUCUUCCGUUGUGUUCUCUUUCAAUAAAUUAAAUUUAAAAAUCAUUCCUUUGGUAUUUCAUCUAGAAUAUGGUCAGAGUAUUUUUUUUUUUUUGUAAAUUUGGAGCAUUUGUCCAUUUGCAGUUUUCCAAAAAAUCUUCCUUUCCACUAUUGCUUAUAAAGUAUCAAAGCUGGCUUGCAGAUCACCUCACAUACAUAGCUCCUCUAAGUUCCUUCAACCUUUGAUUUUGAAUUCAUUCAGGGUAGCAUGAUUUCUUCACCUGUGAUAUGCUCUAUAUAUUUGUUUUGUUCUUUCCAUUUUGAAGAUCACAUCACUUCCUAAAGAAGAUAGAACAAAAGACCACUUGAGCACUUCUCCUACCAUUUUCUACACUUCUAAAUGACACCAGCUUUUACAGAUGACAGAUCUCCUUUCAAUUGCAAAACUGUGGAGUUUACACAAUGAAUUAUAUGGCCUCACUUUUAUCAGAUGAAGCUUCAAGAUCAAGUCUCUCUACACCAAAAUCAGCUUUCAGUUUCCAUGGAACCAACUGAUAGAUGCCCCUACCUGAGGCCUGGUGGGUCAGAUAUCUCUAUUCACUUCACCCUUGGAUGACUAUCUUCACCUUUCUAGAGUUCUUAGUCAAGCACAAGCGAAAAGGGGAAACUUCAGUUUUUAUUUGCCAAAAAAAGAGAGAGGAAAAUAUGUCCUUGAAGCAAAGGAGCAAGACUUAGUUAGUUUGAAGCACAUUAAAGAAGACUACAGAGGAGAAGGCAAAAUGUACUUAUUUUAAAAUGUUCUCCAGCUUAGUUGUAUACACAUUUUCUUCACUGUUAUCUAGACUUAACUUUAUUUUAAAAUAUUUCAAGAUAAGACAAAAAUAUAUAAUAACAUAUGGAUACUAAUCAAAUGUUACCAAUACAUUGGAGUCCCCCUCAUCCUCCCAGAUAUAAUACAAUCCCCUCUUGCCACCACACAGGUAAGCACUAUCCUGAAUGUCAAAUUUUUUCUGACAUUUGCUUAUUUCUCUCAAAAUUCUGUAUGUGAGUUAUACCUUUGUUUAUACAUGUAGCACUAUUUUAUUCAUUUUUAUUGCUAUACACUAUAAUUAUGCUAUGAAUUGAAUUAUGUACCCUCUAAUUUCAUAGGUUGAAGUCCUAACCCCCAAUAUGAUUGUAUUUGGAGAUAGAGACUUUAGGAGUUAAAGAAGGUUGUUAGGUCAUAAAGAUGGGGCCCUAAUUCCAUAGAACUAAUAGCUUUAUAAGAAGAGGAACAAAGAGAAGCCUCUUUCUUCAAGCACAUGCACAGGGGGAAGACCAUACAAAAAUAUGAUAACCAUCUAUAAGCGAGUCAGAGAGCUCUCACCAAAAAAACAAAUCAGGCAGAACCUUAAUCUUAGACUUUCAGCCUCCAGAUCUGUGUUAAAAUAAACUUCUGUUGUUAAAGUCACAUUAAGUUUAUGGUAUUUUGCAUGGAAACCUGAGCAGACUAAUUAAAAAAAUUAAUAUCACAUCCUUUCUUCUUAAUGUAUAUCUAAGCAUGCAAUUACAUGUCUAAUAAAGCUUGGUUAAUAGAAAUGUUAUGCAUAGGUACUUGGAAAUGAGAAAAUAUACUCAAUUUUUUAUUUACUAAAUAUUUUUAUUUAUUUAUUUAUUUUGAGACAGGGUCUCAUCCUCUCACCUAGGCUGAAGUGCAGUGGUGUGAUCAUGGCUCACUGAAGCCUCAAUAUCCUGGUCUUAAGCCAUCCUCCCACCUCAGCGUCCUAAGUAGCUGGGACUACAAUCACACACCACCAAGCCCAGCUAAUUUUGUACUUUUUUUGUAGAGACUCAGUCUGGUCUUGAACUCCCAGGCUCAAGUGAUUUUCCUGCCUCGGCCUCCAAAUUGCUUGGAUUACAGGCAUGAACUACUGUGACCGGCCAACUAAAUUAUUUUUAAAAAAAUAAUUGUAC
rnacentral:lncRNA from 1 species